rnacentral:rRNA from 1 species
UGAGGAACAUGUCCUUCGGCGGGGGAUAGCCGGCCCAACGGCCGGGUAAUACCGCGUACGACCACAUGGGGACAUCCCUGAGUGGUGAAAGCAGCAAUGCGCCGAUGGAGUGCCUCGCGGCCUAUCAGCUAGUUGGUGAGGUAACGGCUCACCAAGGCGACGACGGGUAGCUGGUCUGAGAGGAUGGCCAGCCACAGUUUGGGGACUGAAGACCACCGGCCCAGACCUUCGUAACGGGGAGG